AACGAACGUUAGCGGCGCGCUUAACACAUGCAAGUCGAGCGAGAAGGGGGCAACCCCGGUAAAGCGGCGUACGGGUGAGUAACACGUAGGUAAUCUACCUCGAGGUGGUGGAUAACCUUCCGAAAGGAGGGCUAAUACAGCAUGAGACCACGCCUUCGAAAGAGGGUGAGGUAAAAGCGGGCCUCUCUACAGAAGCUCGCGCCACGAGAUGAGCCUGCGGCCCAUCAUGGUAGUUGGUAGGGUAACGGCCUACCAAGCCGAAGACGGGUAGCUGGUCUGAGAGGAUGAUCAGCCACACUGGAACUGAGACACGGUCCAGACUCCUACGGGAGGCAGCAGUGGGGAAUCUUGCGCAAUGGGCGAAAGCCUGACGCAGCGACGCCGCGUGAGUGAUGAAGGCCUCGG
rnacentral:rRNA from 1 species